GAAAAGUUUGAUUCUAGCUUAGAUAAAUUCUAUAGAUUGUUAUUACAUGCAUUGGUAGUGAAAUUAAGUUUAGCAGUGAUUUAUUUUUUACAGCCAUAUAGGGUGGGGAUUUAUUUUAGGUUUAGGAGAAAUAUGUGCCAGCAUCUGCGGUUAUACAUAAUAGGCGAGGGUUUAUUGGUUGAGUAAUACUUUAUUAAGGYCACAUAAAAUAGGUUUAAGUUGGGUGAAAUAAAUGAUUUUAUUUUAUUGUAAUAAUUUUUUGUAUGAAGUUUUUAAAGGGACUAGGAUUAGAUACCCUAUUACUUAAAGAGUAAUUUUGAGAUUAAAGUAGUAGUAAUGAUAUUAGAAACUUAAAGAAUUUGGCGGUGUUUAGAAUAGUUAGAGGAACCUGUGCCAUAAGUGAUAACCCRCAAUAAUUCGUCUUAGUUGAAUUCUUAUAUAUCGCUGUCAUAAGAGUUAAUAGAGAGUUUAAUUCAGGAUUUAUGUAAAAUAAGGACAAGUCAAGGUUUAGAUAAUAAUUAAGGGGUCAUGGGUUACAGUUAAAUAUUUAUUGGGGUUGGACAGAAUAUAUAAGACUUUAAAGAGGAUUUAUUAGUAAAUAAACAAAUAAUUAUUAUUUAUUGAAUUAUAAAACUAAAUAUGUACACAUUGCCCGUCGCUCUCGUUUUUAAAUGAGAUAAGUCGUAACAAAGUAGGUUUGCUGGAAGGGGUUCCUAUAAA
rnacentral:ncRNA from 1 species